AUUGAACGCUGGCGGCAGGCCUAACACAUGCCAGUCGAACGGUAACAGAAAGCAGCUUGCUGCUUUGCUGACGAGUGGCGGACGGGUGAGUAAUGUCUGGGAAACUGCCUGAUGGAGGGGGAUAACUACUGGAAACGGUAGCUAAUACCGCAUAACGUCGCAAGACCAAAGAGGGGGACCUUCGGGCCUCUUGCCAUCGGAUGUGCCCAGAUGGGAUUAGCUAGUAGGUGGGGUAACGGCUCACCUAGGCGACGAUCCCUAGCUGGUCUGAGAGGAUGACCAGCCACACUGGAACUGAGACACGGUCCAGACUCCUACGGGAGGCAGCAGUGGGGAAUAUUGCACAAUGGGCGCAAGCCUGAUGCAGCCAUGCCGCAUGUAUGAAGAAGGCCUUCGGGUUGUAAAGUACUUUCAGCGGGGAGGAAGGGAGUAAAGUUAAUACCUUUGCUCAUUGACGUUACCCGCAGAAGAAGCACCGGCUAACUCCGUG
rnacentral:rRNA from 1 species